rnacentral:rRNA from 1 species
AUUGCCCUAGUAACGGCGAGUGAAGCGGCAACAGCUCAAAUUUGAAAUCUGGCCCUAGCGGUCCGAGUUGUAAUUUGUAGAGGAUGCUUUUGGUUAGGUGCCUUCUGAGUUCCCUGGAACGGGACGCCAGAGAGGGUGAGAGCCCCGUACGGUUGGACACCGAGCCUCUAUAUAGCUCCUUCGACGAGUCGAGUAGUUUGGGAAUGCUGCUCUAAAUGGGAGGUAAAUUUCUUCUAAAGCUAAAUACCGGCCAGAGACCGAUAGCGCACAAGUAGAGUGAUCGAAAGAUGAAAAGUACUUUGAAAAGAGGGUUAAAUAGCACGUGAAAUUGUUGAAAGGGAAGCGUUUGCGACCAGACUUUUUCCAGGCGGAUCAUCCUGUGUUCUCACCGGUGCACUUCGCCUGGUUUAGGCCAGCAUCGGUUCUCUUAGGGGGAUAAAGGCCUGGGGAACGUAGCUCCUUCGGGAGUGUUAUAGCCCCUAGCGUAAUACCCUUCGGGGG